rnacentral:rRNA from 1 species
CCUACGGGAGGCAGCAGUGGGGAAUAUUGCACAAUGGGGGAAACCCUGAUGCAGCAACGCCGCGUGAAGGAAGACGGAUUUCGGAGUGUAAACCUCUGUUCUUAGGGAAGAAUAAUGACGGUAGCUAAGGAGCAAGCCACGGCUAACUACGUGCCAGCAGCCGCGGUAAUAGGUAGGUGGCAAGCGUUGUCCGGAAUUACUGGGUGUAACGGGAGCGAAGGCGGGAAGCCAAGUCAGCUGUGAAAUCUACGGGCUUAACUUGUAGACUGCAGUUGAAACUGGUUUUCUUGAGUGAAGUAGAGGUUGGCGGAAUUCCUGGUGUAGCGGUGAAAUGCGUAGAUAUUCGGAGGAACACCGGUGGCGAAGGCGGCCAACUGGGCUUUAACUGACGCUGAGGCUCGAAAGUGUGGGGAGCAAACAGGAUUAGAUACCCCUGUAGUC